rnacentral:rRNA from 1 species
AUUGAACGCUGGCGGCAUGCCUUACACAUGCAAGUCGAACGGUAACAGGUCUUCGGAUGCUGACGAGUGGCGAACGGGGGAGUAAUGCAUCGGAACGUGCCCAGUUGUGGGGGAUAACUGCUGGAAAGAGCAGCUAAUACCGCAUACGACCUGAGGGUGAAAGCGGGGGAUCGCAAGACCUCGCGCAAUUGGAGCGGCCGAUGUCAGAUGAGGUAGUUGGUGGGGUAAAGGCCUACCAAGCCGACGAUCUGUAGUUGGUCUGAGAGGACGACCAGCCACACUGGGACUGAGACACGGCCCAGACUCCUACGGGAGGCAGCAGUGGGGAAUUUUGGACAAUGGGCGCAAGCCUGAUCCAGCAAUGCCGCGUGCAGGAAGAAGGCCUUCGGGUUGUAAACUGCUUUUGUCAGGGAAGAAAUCCUCUGGGUUAAUACCCCGGGGGGAUGACGGUACCUGAAGAAUAAGCACCGGCUAACUACGUGCCAGCCGCCGCCGUAACAC